CACGUAGGGUGCGAGCGUUGUCCGGAAUUAUUGGGCGUAAAGAGCUCGUAGGCGGUGUGUCGCGUCGGCCGUGAAAACCUGCAGCUUAACUGUGGGCUUGCGGUCGAUACGGGCAUCACUGGAGUUCGGCAGGGGAGACUGGAAUUCCUGGUGUAGCGGUGAAAUGCGCAGAUAUCAGGAGGGAACACCCGGUGGGCGAAGGCGGGUCUCUGGGCCGAUACUGACG
rnacentral:rRNA from 1 species